GAGAGAGGGAGAGUGAUCAAAAAGGGAGAGAAAUUGGCACUCGGUAGCUUCCCAUUCGGCUGGAAGAGGAACAGCUCUGGUUGCCACAACUUUGGUUGCUCUUUCUCACUGAGUUUGUCGAGGGGUGGCCGUUCCUGCAGUCCACUGGUGCCCCCUAUCGUCCACUUCAGGAGACUCACAAGCAGCGUGAACAGCUAAACCUGGAUGAAGACACUGAGGUUCUAAGAAGUUGCCAGACUCAUUGGAGCUUCAGAGCUGGAACUUGAAAACCAAGUCUUUGACUCCAAGAGCCUAGCAUGGUGCCAAUCCAGAGUAACUCUUGCAAGAUGUUGUAUGAAUGAUGAAAUAAAUGCGCUUAUAGGCUAGAAGAAUAAAAAGGAAUCAGAUCUGUGAAGAGCCUAGUAAGCAAGACUAAGGAAUUAAAAUUGAUCCUGAAAUUAUGGGAAGCCCCUGAAGGAUUUUAAGAGGCCGACACCUCACAUGUGGAAGUGCAGGAGGUAAGAUGUGUCCGAAAGAACCAAGACGGAAAUCAAAGAAACAGUCGUGAGCUACCGCAAGCAAAUCAUCAUGAAGACCUGCAGGAAGCUAGUAAUGGUGGUGAUUGGGAGAAGGAAGAGGAUUCAAGGCCAUGCAGAUGGGCAACCAUAUGUCCUCAUUUGCUUCAGACAGGUCCAGUUUACUCCUGGUACAGUUAUUAAUAGUGUCCCUUUCAGUCCCCAGAAUGCCCUAGUUUGGAUGAUAAUUAUCCUUUCACUCUGUAUGUAGGAGAUAAAGUUAACAGAACAUGAGGCGGGGGUGGGGAGUAGAGUGAGUUGUGUAGGAUAUGACUCAUGUUCUGCCCGAGGUGACCCAGUGACUGGUAACACCAUUCACCAAAUUAGGCAGUCUAGGAGGAGAAGCAGUGGGAGAAGUUCCUUUUUAAAAUAAAAAUAAAGUUAAAAAGUGAGUCAUUGAAAAGUAUUCAGGAAAUCGCAGUAAAAGAUGACAAAAAUUGCGAAGGAAAGACCCAAAUGGCUAGAGUCUGGGGAAUACUGAUGGAAGGUAUCAUCAGGAUGAGAAAGAACAUCUUCCCUCCCUGAACCUCUGAACCGAGUUAGUCUCAGGGCCAUUCAUUAGGAAACCUGCCCUCAUCUGCCAUUCACACCAACUGCAGAUGGAAAAUUGAAAUGGCCACUUAAUUCCGGGUCUGGUUUCUCACUUCCCAUUUUCUUCCCUCCAAGUCACUGCCAUGUCUGCUCCCAACAGCCAGCGACUUCUGAGUAUCUUCAGCAUUAACUGGAUCACAGCUGCCCGUGGUCAUUCAGACAGUCAAAAUAACGCCGCACCACGCCAAGAUCUAGUUAACUGAGUCUAGUCUGAAGAACACAUCCCUUGGUUCGAGCCAAAGGUCAGGCAACACCAAAAUGUUCUACCUCGUUUAUAAGCCACAUGACCCAAGAUCCUUACUAAUCUAUGCUCAUAUUUGCCAACACCUCAGCUUUUUUCCUCCCCCUACAACAUGUCAACAACUGAGUAAUUAUUUAAUAAACCUCAGAACAUACCUCUGCUUCUUCUCUUGGCCAGAGAGACCCGGGAUUUUCCCAGUUUCGGUUUCAAGGUGGCUCUGACUUCAGGGUUCCAAGUGCAGUCAAGCGGAAGAAUAAAUGCACCCACCAGAGCCUUUUGAGGGAACUUUCAAACAAAACUAUGGCUUUUCAAGUAUUAAGAGGGAAUGACAGACUGAACUAAGCUCAGUAUUCCUUUCAAUACGCGUGUUAAAGGUUAUGUUAGCAGCUGUCGAAUCGCUGGCCAACUCUAACUACAUCACUCUUCACCCUAAAUCAGAUGGUUUGGGUGGUACCCGGAACUUGCCUCUCUGAGCUGACCCUGAGCAAUAGGAUUAUUCAAGAAGGUGAUUUUUGGUUUUCCAGGCAUUCCCAUCACUUGUGCCAUUAUUAGCCUGAUGAACAAGAGAACCCAGGACCCCAAGUCCUGAGACACUCCUGCUGCUGGUGGUGGCUCAGAGAACUCUACCCCCUCCAUCUGCAUCUCCUGCUAGAGGUUGGACGCCAAGGCCAUCUGUCUGACAAGUGUGACCGCUGAGGACCUGGGGGUAGCCUAAGUGGUGUCUCCUCUGUGUCCCACCAUGACUGACUCCUUGGCAAGUAGAGAGCAGAUGUUUCUGACCCCAAGUCCCUCUUACUGCACCAGCCAGAAGCAAAUGAGAGUAAGAGUUCAGGAAUCUUUGGCCAUAUUGGGGUUCUUCAGGAGUCAUGCAUGGCUGUGGGAAAGCUCAUCUCAAACUCCUACUAAAGGUUGGCGUGGCACAUAAACCCUUCUGCUUCUACUUCUGAUUCCUACUACCUACCCGCUGGCCUCCAAGUCUGAAUGCACAAAGCUCAACCAGGAUUCACUCUUGAAGCAACAAAACAGACAUUUUCCUAAACUCGCCAGUUUAGGGACUUCAUUCCUCAGGGCCUUAUAUGAUCCUACAAGAGCUGUUGUUCUCCUGAGGCAUGUUGACACCUGGCUGUUAACCUCGGCUUUCUCCAUGGCUUUGGGGGGUGGGGUGGGGGUGUCAAGCUUACAAGGACACUGACAGAUGUGAUGGAAAAGGAUACUGGGGAUGACGGCUGCACAGGAGACGGCAGAGAUGGCCAUCCGGACAUGACACGUGGAAAGGCGGUUCCACUGGGGACACGACUUGUAGGAGAUGAUGGACUGCAGGAGCGUGUACACGACACCGCAGACAAAUGCCAAGAGGGCGCCACCGUCGUGCACCACGGGGACAGCUAACUCCUGGAGAGAAAGUCACACAUGAGAUGUUACACAUCGAGAGCCAAAUGCACGGGCAUAUCCAUUUAGGGACAUUAUAUAUGAAAUAAAAAGUACUUCUAGA